UGCCGACGGCCGCCCGCCGCUCCCGACGCAGGAGAUCGGCACCCUCCGUCAUCUACCCGGAGGUUCUGAUCAUCAUCGACUACGACGGCUUCUUGCUCCAUGAUCAGGACAACAACAAGAUCAAGAAGUAUUUCACCAGCUUUAUGAACGGCGUCGAUCUGCGGUACAAACAGCUGCGCAAUCCCGAGAUCAAGGUCAACAUAGCCGGCAUGAUUAUCUCUCGGGGCGCCGACGCCACACCGUACCUGGAGGAGAACAAGGUGACGAGGGACUCGAUCGACUCGGCCGCCGCUCUCACCGCCAUGGGCAAAUACCUGUUCGAGGAGCGACGCCUGCCGACAUACGACAUUGCUAUGGCGAUC